UGGCUCAGAUGGUAAAGAAUCUGCCUCCAAAGCAGAAGACCUGGGUUCAAUUCCUGG
rnacentral:tRNA from 1 species